rnacentral:rRNA from 1 species
CAGCCGCCGCGGUAAUACAGAGGGUGCGAGCGUUAAUCGGAUUUACUGGGCGUAAAGCGUGCGUAGGCGGCUUCUUAAGUCGGAUGUGAAAUCCCUGAGCUUAACUUAGGAAUUGCAUUCGAUACUGGGAAGCUAGAGUAUGGGAGAGGAUGGUAGAAUUCCAUGUGUAGCGGUGAAAUGCGUAGAGAUCUGGAGGAAUACCGAUGGCGAAGGCAGCCAUCUGGCCUAAUACUGACGCUGAGGUACGAAAGCAUGGGGAGCAAACAGGAUUAGAUACCCCUGUAGUCCCUGUCUCUUAUAC